GGCCAGCAGCCGCGGUAAUACGUAGGUGGCAAGCGUUGUCCGGAUUUACUGGGCGUAAAGGGUGCGUAGGUGGAUAUUUAAGUCAGAUGUGAAACCCCUGGGCUCAACUCAGGGACUGCAUUUGAAACUGGAUAUCUGGAGUGCAGGAGAGGUAAGUGGAAUUCCUAGUGUAGCGGUGAAAUGCGUAGAGAUUAGGAAGAACACCAGUGGCGAAGGCGACUUACUGGACUGUAACUGACACUGAGGCACGAAAGCGUGGGUAGCAAACAGGAUUAGAUACCCUGGUAGUCCACGCCGUAAACGAUGAGUACUAGGUGUAGGGGGUAUCGACUCCCUCUGUGCCGCAGUUAACACAAUAAGUACUCCGCCUGGGAAGUACGAUCGCAAGAUUAAAACUCAAAGGAAUUGACGGGGGCCCGCACA
rnacentral:rRNA from 1 species